rnacentral:rRNA from 1 species
CAGUAGCCGCGGUAAUACGGAGGGUGCAAGCGUUAAUCGGAAUUACUGGGCGUAAAGGGUGCGUAGGUGGUUAGAUAAGUUAUCUGUGAAAGCCCUGGGCUCAACCUGGGAAGGCCAGAUAAGACUGUUUGACUAGAGUACGGGAGAGGGUAGUGGAAUUUCCGGUGUAGCGGUGAAAUGCGUAGAGAUCGGAAGGAACACCAGUGGCGAAGGCGGCCACCUGGCCUAUUACUGACACUGAAGCACGAAAGCGCGGGGAGCAGAUGGGAUUAGAUACCCGCGUAGUCCCUGUCUCUUAUAC